rnacentral:rRNA from 1 species
UGAGGAAUUUUGCGCAAUGGGGGAAACCCUGACGCAGCGACGCCGCGUGGAGGAUGACGUCCUUCGGGAUGUAAACUCCUGUCAGAGGGGAUGAUGAUGACAGUACCCUCAGAGGAAGCACCGGCUAACUCCGUGCCAGCAGCCGCGGUAAGACGGAGGGUGCAAGCGUUGUUCGGAAUUACUGGGCGUAAAGCGUACGUAGGCGGCGGAUUAAGUCGAAUGUUAAAGCCUGGGGCUCAACCCCAGAGAUGCACUCGAUACUGGUCUGCUAGAGGGUGAUAGAGGAAAGCGGAAUUCCCAGUGUAGCGGUGAAAUGCGUAGAUAUUGGGAGGAACAUCAGUAGCGAAGGCGGCUUUCUGGGUCACACCUGACGCUGAGGUACGAAAGCGUGGGGAGCAAACGGG